rnacentral:rRNA from 1 species
UCCUACGGGAGGCAGCAGUGGGGAAUUUUGGACAAUGGGGGCAACCCUGAUCCAGCCAUGCCGCGUGCAGGAUGAAGGCCUUCGGGUUGUAAACUGCUUUUGUACGGAACGAAAAGACUCUGGUUAAUACCUGGGGUCCAUGACGGUACCGUAAGAAUAAGCAUCGGCUAACUACGUGCCAGCAGCCGCGGUAAUACGUAGGGUGCGAGCGUUAAUCGGAAUUACUGGGCGUAAAGCGUGCGCAGGCGGUUCGUUAAGUCAGAUGUGAAAGCCCCGGGCUCAACCUGGGAACGGCAUUUGAGACUGGCGGGCUGGAGUGUGGCAGAGGGGGGUGGAAUUCCGCGUGUAGCAGUGAAAUGCGUAGAGAUGCGGAGGAACACCGAUGGCGAAGGCAGCCCCCUGGGCUGACACUGACGCUCAGGCACGAAAGCGUGGGGAGCAAACAGGAUUAGAUACCCUGGUAGUCCACGCCCUAAACGAUGAUCACUGGGUGUUCGGGGAGCGAUCUCUGAGUACCGUAGCUAACGCGUGAAGUGAUCCGCCUGGGGAGUACGGUCGCAAGAUUAAAACUCAAAGGAAUUGACGG